AGUCAAUAGAUACCCUGGUAGUCCACGCUGUAAACGGUGGAUACUAGGUGUUGGUGGUUUAACGCCAUCAGUGCCGAAAGCAAAAACGCGUUAAGUAUCCCGCCUGGGGACUACGGCCGCAAGGCUAAAACUCAAAGGAAUUGACGGGGGCCCGGCACAAGCAGCGGAGCGUGUGGUUUAAUUCGAGGCUACACGAAGAACCUUACCUGGGCUUGACAUGGUCGUAGUAGUGAAGCGAAAGCGGAACGACCCUUCGGGGUAGCGAUCACAGGUGCUGCAUGGCUGUCGUCAGCUCGUGCCGUGAGGUGUUGGGUUAAGUCCCGCAACGAGCGCAACCCUUGCCGUUAGUUACAAGUGUCUAACGGGACUGCCGGUUUAACACCGGAGGAAGGUGGGGAUGACGUCAAGUCAGCAUGGCCUUUAUGUCCAGGGGCUACACACACGCUACAAUGGCCGGUACAAUAGGCAGCCAAGCCGCGAGGCGGAGCAAAUCCUAAAAACGCCGGUCUCAGUUCGGAUUGCAGGCUGCAA
rnacentral:rRNA from 1 species